rnacentral:rRNA from 1 species
UGGGGAAUAUUGCGCAAUGGACGCAAGUCUGACGGAGCAACGCCGCGUGAGUGAUGAAGGUUUUCGGAUCGUAAAGCUCUGUUGCCCUAGACGAACAGCAAGAGGAGUAACUGCCUUUUGUGUGACGGUAUAGGAGAAGAAAGCCCCGGCUAACUACGUGCCAGCAGCCGCGGUAAUACGUAGGGGGCAAGCGUUGUCCGGAAUUAUUGGGCGUAAAGCGCGCGCAGGCGGUCAUUUAAGUCUGGUGUUUAAGCCCGGGGCUCAACCCC